rnacentral:lncRNA from 1 species
UUACCAUUGGCUCAUCUAUCUCCUCCUCUCCCCUGUAACUAUUCCCCAGGUCAUUGAUUGUAAAUGAAAGUUUUCUCAGUCAACUUACCUGGUAAAAUAACAAAAAAAUCAAUAAAAAUUUAAUAAAACGAUGUUUUAAUUAUUUCUGAAACUGCCACAUUCAGUUCUUUACCACCAUGAUAAUGUUGGAGAUUAGUGAUAAAAUAUAUUAUAAUAUGGGAAUAGUUACAAUAAUAGACUAUAUCCUGGUCAUUGCCUGCCACCAACCAUGGAACUGUGUGAUUACAUCGCAUGUGUUAGGGCUUGGUCUGUUCUCCUCUCCAUAACUAUUAGCAUGUCUUUCUAAUACUGUCAACUUUACUAAUGAUCUUCAAAACAAACCACACGGCCGUGACGCGUUUACAAAGAAAGCAAAUGAAGGUAAACCAAACAGUGAAAUGACUGGAUGAUAAUGUGGACUAUACCAACUGAAGGGAACUAACCGUCUAAUGGGCAGUUGUGUUGUUAUCAGACCUAGUGAUGGUCCAUAUUGUUAUCAGUCUACUGAUGGUCCAUAUUGUUUAUCAGACCUAGUGAUGGUCCAUAUUGUUAUUCAGUCCUAGUGGUCCAUAUGUAUCAGACCUAGUGAUGUCCAUAUUGUUAUCAGUCCACUGAUGUCCAUAUUUUUAUUCAGGCUCCUGACUAGGUCCAUAUUGUUAUCAGCCCUAAUGAUGGCCAUACUUGUUAUCAGACCUACUGAUGGUUCCAUAUUGUUAUCAGGCCUACUGAUGGUCCAUAUUGUUAUCAGACCUACUGAUGGUCCCAUAUUGUUAUCAGGCCUACUGAUGGUCCAUAUUUCAUUCAGGCCUACAGAUGGCCCAUAUUGUUAUCAGGCCUACAGAUGGGUCCAUAUUGUAAUCAGGCCUACAGAUGGUCCAUAUUGUUAUCAGGCCUUACGAUGGUAAUAUUGUUAUCAGGCCUACAGAUGGUCCAUAUUGAUUGUUAUCAGACCUACUGAUGGUCCAUAUUGAUUGUUUCAGACCUACUGAUGGUCCAUUGUUAUCAGGGCCUACUGAUGGUCAUAUUGUUAUCAGACCUACUGAUGGUCCAUAUUGUAUCAGGGCUACAGAUGGCCCUAUUGUCAUCAGGCCUACAGAUGGUCCAUAUUGUUACUAGGCCUACAGAUGGUCAAUAUUGUUAUCAGGCCUACAGAUGGUCCAUAUUGAAUUGUUAUCAGCUACUAUGGUCCAUAUUGAUUGUUAUCCAGGCCUACUGUGGUCCA